rnacentral:rRNA from 1 species
AUUGAACGCUGGCGGCAGGCCUAACACAUGCAAGUCGAACGGAGUGGCGGACGGGUGAGUAAUGUCUGGGAAACUGCACGAUGGAGGGGGAUAACUACCGGAAACGGUAGCUAAUACCGCAUACUAUCAGAUGAGCCUAGGUCGGAUUAGCUAGGUGGAGGGGUAAAGGCCUACCAAGGCGACGAUCCGUAACUGGUCUGAGAGGAUGAUCAGUCACACUGGAACUGAGACACGGUCCAGUCUCCUACGGGAGGCAGCAGUGGGGAAUAUUGGACGAUGGGCGAAAUCCUGAUCCAGCCAUGCCGCGUGUGUGAAGAAGGUCUUCGGAUUGUAAAGCACUUUAAGUUGGGAGGCGUUACCAACAGAAUAAGCACCGGCUAACUUCGUGCCAGCCGCCGCGGUAAUUC